CAUAAAUGAGGCACGUACACACAGGCCGCUAUAAUCGCUAGUUUCCAAACUGCCUCCUUCAAUCUAGCGUCACACCUGUACCUUGCCUUGCCUGCUAUCGAUCUUUUCGUGAUUCCGUCGCAUCGCCGUCAAGAGAAGCGAAGAAGGGAAGGGGACGACCGCGGGUGAGCACCGAUCCGGUCCGGAUGAGCCAUGAGUGGCAACAAUCCGAAGGAAAAAGGAUGUUUGCCGUGAGUUGUUCUUAUGUGCACAUGUUAGAUGUCGUUGCCUCACGGUGUCGUUUGCCCUUUCAUUCGUACUUACGAGAGGUCAUGGUUGAUUGGGUCGUAAUCGGAGGGGUGGAAACAGAGGUCCAUGUCCCUGGAAGCGAUGCCUUCACUGUGAGGAGGUUUUUCUGGACCCAGGACGGUGUGGGGUAUCUUUCUCUUUACAAUGAUGUCGCUUUCUAGGCCAUUUGUUUUUUACAGGCUUUGUAUGGGUUCGUUGUCUUGGAUUACAACUACCAUAGUAUGAUGACCUAUCGAGAGCUUGCACGCUCCGCGGUUGUUUUAGCAGCCUCGCUUGUUCGAUCUUCGGGUUCUGUUGUUGGUGGUGAUGUAUCUGCUGCUUUGGGUGAUGUCGAUGCUGCUUCACGGCGGCAGAUGCUACAUGCUGGGUUGAUGUCUACAGCCUGCAGCUUCUAGAUAUACUUCAUGGAUAGGUUGUGUUAUCUUUGGGGUUGUUAGCUGGUAGUUGUUUCUUUACUGAGUCUGGUUGGUCUACAUUCAGAUCGUUGUGUAUGUACACUAUGAUACAUGCCUGUUUGUAACGACGUGUGGAUGGUAGUUGUUCCUUUAUUCAAUAUAAUUCCUAUCCUUUGCCUGAUUA